rnacentral:rRNA from 1 species
GCAAGUCGAACGGAGUUUUAAGUCGGAAGUUUCGGAUGGAAGUUAAGAACUUAGUGGCGGACGGGUGGAGUAACGACGUGGGUAACCUGCCUCAUACAGGGGGAGUAACAGUUAGAAAUGACUGCUAAGACCGCAUAAUAUAGCGAAACCGCAUGAUUUUGCUAUCAAAUAUUUAUAGGGUAUGAGAUGGGCCCGCGUCUGAUUAGCUAGUUGGUGGGGUAAAAGCCUACCAAGGCGACGAUCAGUAGCCGGCUUGAGAGAGUGACCGGCCACAUUGGGACUGAGACACGGCCCAAACUCCUACGGGAGGCAGCAGUGGGGAAUAUUGGACAAUGGGGGAAACCCUGAUCCAGCCGACGCCGCGUGAGUGAAGAAGUAUUUCGGUAUGUAAAGCUCUAUCAGCAGGGAAGAUAAUGACAGUACCUGACUAAGAAGCCCCGGCUAACUACGUGCCAGCCGCCGC